UGUGCGUAGUUUUUUUAUGUUUAAAAAAAUGCAUAACAGUUGACUGAUAAUUUAUUAGUGGUAGUAAUCAAUAGAUCAACUAAUAAUUAUCAAUAUAUAGCAAUAGUUAUAGUUCAAGUUACCAGUUGUACUCAGUUGGGUCAGAGUAAAUAACUUCACCUAGGUUAAUGUAAAUACCCGCACUCAGGCCGGUAUUCAUAGUCGAGUCUCAAGUCAGCACUUAAGAUCGUCUUGGCGAAGAUCGUCUUAUUCGAAUAAGAUCGUCUCAAUAGUAGUACAUUUCGUAGUCAUGACUUGAGGCGAGCUUGGCGAAGAAGUUCUUGCUCAAGUUGUGCUUAUUUGAUAUAAGAUCGUUUUCGCGAAGCAAUGCUCAAGUUAAUGCUUAUUUGUGAAUCGGCUGUUUCCGUGAUAUUUCCUAUAAAACCUCCAAUGAGAACAUUGCAUAUAUUGAGCUAAACGGAACAGACUUAAUAUUUUAUCGCAUCUGUUACAUUUAGUUAAUUACUACGCAUUAAGUGUAUUAAUUUAUAAGUUUAAUAGUUUAAAUUAUUAAGACUAAAAGAAAAAAUAUUCAGAAUGUCACGCAAUGAAAAGCCUCAAACAUCCAAAAACAAGCACUAUACAUUGAUCGAGAGAAAAAUAUUUUUACAAAUACUUGAGAAAUAUAAAAAUGUAAUUGAAGUUAAAGUACACUUAAGGAAAAGUACAAGCAAGCAAGUUCCUCCAAAGGUACCAAUUAAAAAAAGAAAGCAUCAAGAAGUGUCUUAUCAAGAAACAGAAGAUAAUUUACGGGUACAACGUAUUUAGCAAGUAAUGAGUCAAGAGCAAGAUUUAGCGACUGUCAAAUUAAAACACGAACAAAAUAUGAAUAAAAUGAGAGAAGAGCAUUUAAAACACAUGAACGAAAUGGAAGCACUGCAUAAAAAAGAAAUAAAUAAGUUAGAAAGGGAAAUUAAAAUAACAAAACUGAAAAUUUUACAAAGUCAACAAAGAAAAUAUUGAUUUACAAUUGUAAAACUUUUCCUAGGAAACGUGAAAAGUAAUGAAAAUUUUUUCCAUUAAUUUUAGUGGUACAAAUUUUUACUUUUCACAUUUUUACCUUAGGAAAAAUGUUACUCCGUUUUGGUGUAACAUCUUGCUCUUGGCCUAUUACGCGCACAACAAUUUUUUUGAGGAUGUUGGGAUCAAUACUUUUUUUUUGUUUUAAAUCAGUGCCAUCCAACAUUUGAAUGAGUACAUCCUAAUUAUAGUUUUUACUGUUUGACAGAUAAGUGACGGCUGUUUGUAUUUCUCAUAUAUCUCGCUUCAUGCAAGUUGGAUGACUUUUUUAUUUUUGUUUUAGACUUUGAAUUUAAAUGUAUUAGUGUUUAUGUCUAUUGUUAAUGUCUAAUACUUAUUUUUAUUUUAUAACUGUUUUGUUGUAGUGCACAACGUUUAGUCUUAGGUAUGGUACUACUUUAGAAUUAUUAUAAGUUUUUGAAUGUUUUAUUAUUUUUUGUAUUUAUCUAACAAAUGGCUUAUCACACUUGGGAAUUGAAAAAUUUAUGAUUUUUGUUUUAAUAUUUUUAUUACUUUCACUAACAAGUAGCCAAAAGGUUGGCAAAUAUUUUACGUAACAAUAUGUAACAUGUAAGAACACAGUGUACAAGUGUACUAUAUUUUUUAAGAACAAAGUGUACAAGUGUAAAUAUAUUUUUAUAAUUAUUGAAAUAUAUGUAAUUAAAGUUACAUUUAAAAACGA